GCAGGGCAUGUAUGAGUAGUUGAGAAUGGUGGAGUAUGACUAGACAGAAAAUAGUAGGGAUGACAAGAUUUUUUUUUUGGGCGGUGGGGGCACAGUCUAAGUUGGUCUGGUGUCUGGAAUGAUACUGGGGCCUAAUAAAAAGGAGCGUCUAUACAGGAGCUUAAAUGGGCUGUACCCUGUAGCAUUCCGAGGACAGGCCUGAAUUCUGA
rnacentral:lncRNA from 10 species